CCUGCCCACCCUGGAAACGGCU
rnacentral:snRNA from 1 species